CUAGGACAGCCUAUGCACUUCCUACUCACAGCCGCUGUCCGUUGUUGUGUGCUCCUCUACCUGGUGAUACGGUUCAAACGGGUUUAUUUGCAAGAACUAACAGUCUCACGGUUCUGUUGAAGCCUCUGGGCUGACCUAAAGCCCGCUGAAGCACUGGAUCAAGUUGUCGGUUAGAAAAGCUGCUGCAAGCUGCUUACCAUACCUCUGGAUGAGCCAUGAAUGGCAGAAAAAUGAAUUCUAGACAAAUUGUUAGAAGCUUCUAUGGAAGUUUUCACGUCAGUUUGGUUCUCAGCUGCCUCCCCGAAUGGCCUGGAGACUGAGCCUGAAUGGCCGGGCGAGCCUUUUUACAGGAAGAUCUCCUUUUCUUUGGUGCUUGUUCCCAAGAUGAAGUGCAACUGAAUGACCUUUAUCAAGAGAGAAAGUGUACAAGGUUUCACCUCAUUAUUUUCAGAGGAACUAGUUAGUUACGGUCCUCAGAAAGCCGGGCAAACCUGUACUUCAAUUUCUGUGUUGGAACUAUUUUGACGGCUAAUUGUAACCUGCAAAGGGACGCUCAUCUGUGAUUGAUUGCUGCAUUUUGCCCACGUUGGAGACAAAGCCAAGCAAGGUCAUGUGAACUCUAUAUCCACAUCGUUGCAGCACGGUUGCUGUCCUCGAACGUUUCAAGUUCUUUCAGCCAUCAUCAGUAGUAGCUGCUGUCUCCUGUUAGGCCAGGCUGUUGUGUUGGCAGUACUUUGGGUUUUUAGCAGAAAAACAGGCCUUGCAGUAGACUGGUCAGUGCCAAGCAGUCAAGGCAAGCUGCUAAAGCAGGACUAUUUACUUAGGCUGAGCUACCAGUUUUCUGCAUUUUCUCUAGGUGUUAAAAAGCAAACA